rnacentral:rRNA from 1 species
UACGGAGGGUGCAAGCGUUGUCCGGAUUUAUUGGGUUUAAAGGGUGCGUAGGCGGCUGUUUAAGUCAGUGGUGAAAGACAUCGGCUCAACCGAUGCAGUGCCAUUGAUACUGGGCAGCUUGAGUGUUGGAGGGGUACAUGGAAUUGAUGGUGUAGCGGUGAAAUGCAUAGAUACCAUCAGGAACACCGAUAGCGAAGGCAUUGUACUGGCCAACAACUGACGCUGAGGCACGAAAGCAUGGGGAGCGAACAGG